UACGUAGGGUGCGAGCGUUAAUCGGAAUUACUGGGCGUAAAGCGUGCGCAGGCGGUUUUGUAAGACCGAUGUGAAAUCCCCGGGCUUAACCUGGGAACUGCAUUGGUGACUGGCAGGCUUUGAGUGUGGCAGAGGGAGGUAGAAUUCCACGUGUAGCAGUGAAGUGCGUAGAGAUGUGGAGGAAUACCGAUGGCGAAGGCAGCCUCCUGGGCCAACACUGACGCUCAUGCACGAAAGCGUGGGGAGCAAACAGG
rnacentral:rRNA from 1 species